rnacentral:rRNA from 1 species
UAGGGAAUCUUCGGCAAUGGACGAAAGUCUGACCGAGCAACGCCGCGUGAGUGAAGAAGGUUUUCGGAUCGUAAAACUCUGUUGUUAGAGAAGAACAAGGACGUUAGUAACUGAACGUCCCCUGACGGUAUCUAACCAGAAAGCCACGGCUAACUACGUGCCAGCAGCCGCGGUAAUACGUAGGUGGCAAGCGUUGUCCGGAUUUAUUGGGCGUAAAGCGAGCGCAGGCGGUUUCUUAAGUCUGAUGUGAAAGCCCCCGGCUCAACCGGGGAGGGUCAUUGGAAACUGGGAGACUUGAGUGAAGAAGAGGAGAGUGGAAUUCCAUGUGUAGCGGUGAAAUGCGUAGAUAUAUGGAGGAACACCAGUGGCGAAAGCGGCUCUCUGGUCUGUAACUGACGCUGAGGCUCGAAAGCGUGGGGAGCAAACAGG